rnacentral:rRNA from 1 species
UCCGUAGGCGGUGCGGCAAGUCGGAAGUGAAAUCUCAGGGCUUAACCCUGAGGCUGCUUCCGGAACUGCCGUGCUGGAGUGCGAGAGAGGCGAGUGGAAUUGCAGGUGUAGCGGUGAAAUGCGUAGAUAUCUGCAGGAACAUCCGAGGCGAAAGCGGCUCGCUGGAUCGCAACUGACGCUGAGGGACGAAAGCUAGGGGAGCAAACAGGAUUAGAUACCCUGGUAGUCCUAGCCCUAAACGAUCAGGACUGGGCGUGGGCCUCGUACGGGGCUCGUGCCGCAGCUAACGCGUUAAGUCCUGCGCCUGGGGAGUACGGUCGCAAGGCUGAA